GUGUAUAAUGUAAGCAUGCCGACAAGCUGGCCAGCGGAUUCAUUGGAUGUUGUAUGAGGCAACUUUUCAAGAUCGUGGGACAACCUUGAUGUAUUUUCCAAGUUAUAACAAAGAGCAGAUUGACGAAGUAAGAACUCAAUGGGUGCACCAUGUUGUCUAACAACUGUAUAUUAGCUCGGUUACGUUGAAUGAACCAAUAAUUGUACAGUUGUAUUAAUUAAUGUAUGUUGCGUAGUUUAAUGUUUGUGUUCUUAUUUUAGAACAUCUCUAUGUAAUCGGUUUUAUUAGGUUGACGUACAAUUGAAAAUUCUUUAUAAUGAGGUGUGGAAAUUAAUAUACGAUUAUUUUUACUCUUCAA